CAGUAGCCGCGGUAAUACGUAGGUGGCAAGCGUUGUCCGGAAUUAUUGGGCGCAAGGGCUCGCAGGCGGUUUCUUAAGUCUGAUGUGAAAGCCCCCGGCUCAACCGGGGAGGGUCAUUGGAAACUGGGAAACUUGAGUGCAGAAGAGGAGAGUGGAAUUCCACGUAUAGCAGUGGAAUGCGUAGAGAUGUGGAGGAACACCAGUGGUGAAGGCGACUCUCUGGUCUGUAACUGACGCUGAGGAGCGAAAGCGUGGGGAGCGAACAGGAUUAGAUACCCCUGUAGUCCCUGUCUCUUAUACA
rnacentral:rRNA from 1 species